rnacentral:misc_RNA from 1 species
GAUGAAGAACGCAGCGAAAUGCGAUAAGUAAUGUGAAUUGCAGAAUUCAGUGAAUCAUCGAAUCUUUGAACGCACAUUGCGCCCCUGGUAUUCCGGGGGGCAUGCCUGUUCGAGCGUCAUUUCACCACUCAAGCCUCGCUUGGUAUUGGGCAACGCGGUCCGCCGCGUGCCUCAAAUCGACCGGCUGGGUCUUCUGUCCCCUAAGCGUUGUGGAAACUAUUCGCUAAAGGGUGUUCGGGAGGCUACGCCGUAAAACAACCCCAUUUCUAAGGUUGACCUCGGAUCAGGUAGGGAUACCCGCUGAACUUAAGCAUAUCAAUAAGCGGAGGA